GGCGGCAGGCCUACAUAUACAAGUCGAACGGAUCCUUCGGGAUUAGUGGCGGACGGGUGAGAUGGGAACGUGCCCUUUGGUUCGGAACAACUCAGGGAAACUUGAGCUAAUACCGGAUGUGCCCUUCGGGGGAAAGAUUUAUCGCCAUUGGAGCGGCCCGCGUCUGAUUAGCUAGUUGGUGGGGUAAAGGCCCACCAAUGCGACGAUCAGUAGCUGGUCUGAGAGGAUGAUCAGCCACAUUGGGACUGAGACACGGCCCAAACUCCUACGGGAGGCAGCAGUGGGGAAUCUUGCGCAAUGGGCGAAAGCCUGACGCAGCCAUGCCGCGUGAAUGAUGAAGGUCUUAGGAUUGUAAAAUCUUUCCCGGGGACGAUAAUGACCGUCCCGGAGAAGAGCCGGUAAUUCGGCCGCAGCGGGUAUCGAAGGGCUACUUGUCGGAUUCUGGGGUAAGGGAGCGUAGCGAUGUUAGUUAAGUAAACCCGGGCUCACUGG
rnacentral:rRNA from 1 species